GUCUACAGCCAUACCACCCUGAACAUGCCUGAUCUCAAAAGCUUUCUAAGCACAGUCGGGCCUGGUUAGUACUUGGUUGUGAGACCACAUUGGAAUACUGAGUACUGUAGGCU
ensembl:rRNA 5S_rRNA 5S ribosomal RNA